AAAAACUUUCAACAACGGAUCUCUUGGUUCCAGCAACGAUGAAGAACGCAGCGAAAUGCGAUACGUAAUGUGAAUUGCAGAAUUCAGUGAAUCAUCGAAUCUUUGAACGCAUAUU
rnacentral:rRNA from 1 species